rnacentral:tRNA from 1 species
GGGUCAGACACAAAGAGAGCAGUGGACUCAUAAUCCAUUGGUCGAAGGUUCGAGUCCUUCCGGGCCCACCA